GCGUCAUAUACACCCUCAAGCCUUGCUUGGUGUUGGGCGUCUGUCCCGCUUACAGCGCGGACUCGCCCUAAAGACAUUGGCAGCAAUCUUGCCGGCUUCUUGCGCAGCACUCUGCGCUUCUCAAGGCCAUCGGCGGGCUAGCGUCCAUCAAGAACCCCUCGUUUGACCUCGAAUCAGGUAGGGAUACCCGCUGAACUUAA
rnacentral:misc_RNA from 1 species